rnacentral:rRNA from 1 species
CUACCAGCCCCGCGAGUGGUCGGGACGGUUAUUGGGCCUAAAGCGCCCGUAGCCGGCCCGGUAAGUUCCCGCCGAAAUCCCCGGGCUCAACCCGGGGGCCUGCGGGAAUACUGCCGGGCUAGGGGGCGGGAGAGGCCGGGGGUACUCCCGGGGUAGGGGCGAAAUCCUAUAAUCCCGGGAGGACCACCAGUGGCGAAGGCGCCCGGCUGGAACGCGCCCGACGGUGAGGGGCGAAAGCCGGGGGAGCGAACCGGAUUAGAAACCCUAGUAGUCC